GCAAUUUAAAAAAUAAAUAAAGUAUGAAUAGAGCCUAAUUCAAAAUCAGCGCGAAGGAGAAGGGCCACGCGCGCAAAUUCCCCAAUUCAAGCAAAGGCGCGCGGAUCCGGCCUGUUAAGUGGGUCAGCGCGCGGAUCUUACCCCUCUUGGAACGACGCCGUUUUAACACCCUUAAACCCUCAUUUUGGCUCCUUUUCUCCUAUUUUUUUAACACAGCCGACCUCUUAAUUUUUUUUAAACAAAAAACCCCUGAAAUCAGUCGGCUAGGGUUCCAUUAGCACGCAGCCGCCAAACCACCAUUGUUUAGUGACCAACAACACCCAAACAACGCACCGAUUAUGCCAUUGAAGGUGCAUGACCACACCCUAAAGGAUUUAGUAAGUAUAUUCUUCCUCCUUUUUCCUUUAUUUGAAAAGAAAAUUCAAAUCUCAUGUUAUUUUUUUUAAAGAAGGAAAAGAGGUUCAUAGAAUAAAGGAGCUUUCAACGUUGCUUGACCUCUCACCCUUACAUCCGCAUCUCAGAAGUAUUUGGGCUCUCAUCGACCUCAAUUCGCAUAAAAAAAAUCGAGCUAACCAAGAAGAAAAUAAAUCCGAAAAAAAACAAAAGAGAAAGAAAAAUGUGAAAUCACCUCUGCUAAUUUUUUAUUGCUUUUCUUCUAUUCUCUAUGCAUAGUAUGCGUAAAGUGUGCGUAAGUUUUUUGCAGGUACAUUUGUCGGCUUUUAUAGCCAGAUUUACAGAGUAAAAUCAAAAAAUAAAAUUACAUUUUCUUGCUGUCAAUCGUUGUAAAUUCUGUUAGCCUCUUUCUCGUGCAUUCCCUUGCUGUUUAUUUUUCCUUCUUAUAGGUUCCAUUGACGUGGAUGUACGGAGGUGCACGGAGGCAGUCGUGCGUGAGAAUCCCUCGUGGGCAGCCGACCCUCUAGUUUAUUUCAGAAGUUUCUGGCAUUUUCAGGCUGCUGAGAUUCUUUUUAGGUGUAUUGGGCCUCGUGUUUGGGCUAUUGGAAUUGGGUUUGAGGGUUUAUUCAAUUGGGUCAUGGGUUAUUUUAGUUUAAUGGACUUUUAUUGUAUUGUUUUUUAUUUUAGUUUUGGGUUUUGUAAAUGGACUUUGGCCCUAUAAACAAUUUGGUCAAUUAUUUAUUUUUGUUUGGUUUUAAAAAUAUAUAUUUUUAUUUUUGUUUUUUAUGAGCCCGGGCGAAAUAAGCAUAUUACAAACGUGAGAUGUGAGAUAUGUGUAUAUUUUAUUUCAUGAAUAGGUUUGCAACUUGUUCUUAGACAAUGUAGAAUUACUUCCUCUUUUAACUAACAACAUAAGAUUAAAUGCUGUACUAUAUUUUAUAAUUUUUUUACUU
rnacentral:lncRNA from 1 species